CUCUUGCACUGUUGGUGGGAACGCAAGAUGGUAUAGCCACUCUGGAAAAUGGUAUGGACAUUCCUUAAGAAGUUAAAAAUAGAGCUACUCUACGACCCAGCAAUUGCACUACUUGGUAUUUACCCCCAAUAUACAGACAUAGUGACUGAAGAAGCACUUGCACCCCAAUGUUUAUAGCAGCCAUGUCCACAAUACCCAAACUGUGGAAAGAGCUGAGAUAUCCAUCAACAGAUGAAUGGAUAAAGAUGUGUUCAUUAAUUAUACUUCUGGAUAUUUGCUCAAGAGGAAUAAAAACAUGUGCCCACAGAAGACUUGUGCAAGAAUUCAUUUAUAGAACCAAGAACUGAAAUCUGGUUCCUCUCUCUUUGGAGAAGGACAUGUGUGCAGGGAAGAUGGGGCAAUGGAUUAUCUAAGUCAAGGAAUUGGGCCAGCAGCAAACAAGGACUUAAUAACUAGAGAGAAUAUUGGAAAUCAAGAAACAACGUGCCAGUGUUUCUGUAUGUGGUGAUAAGAAGAAUCUGGGGUGGAGGGAGGUGAGAGAUUGAAGACAAGAUGAGCUAGGAGAAGGUCAGGAAUUGGGGGCUUCACACCUCAAUCGUAUCACAUACCCAGCAGCCAACCCAGCUUGGAUCAUUCCACCUGAGGCUGUGAGGGAGUUCCUAGGAACAGGAUGUGCCCACCCUCCACUCCACAAGGCAGCAUUUUUACCAAGGGCGAGCUGUCUGUGGGCAGGUGAGGCCCUAACUAGUCCCUUCCAGCCCUACCCUAUUUAGCCAGUGUCCUGAGACAUUUCUCCACCCAAUUGUGGCUUCUUGAUACCAAGGUUAUACCUAGUCUGAGUCAGUUCAGGGAACCCCAGUGUGUUUCCCAUCAGGAUGUCCGCUCCAUUGUUUUCUCUGCAGAAUGACACCAGCACUUGGAAAAAAGGAAAACCUGUAUUCUGCUUCAUUUUUAGAGAACUAUCAUUUCUUCUUCCUGUAAUAAUGUGUCUGCCAGCAUUACUCUCAAUGGUUGUACUUGCUCUAUUUUUAACAUGCCCUUUCAAAGGGUUAACCAUGAAAUUAAACCAAAAAGACGAUGUACGUGAAAUCCACAGUCACAUCACCUCUCUAGACAAAUCUCAGAAAGCCGAGAAUAAACAAACAGUUUAACCUGCAAAUCAGUUAUCCAGGGAACACUAAGGCGCCCACUCUUUAAUCUUUUCAUAUUACAUCAAAACCCUGGCUUUGGAUCAGAAUUGCAGAAUGCUUGCAUCUAGUCAGCCUGGAACCUAUUGCCAGUCAGGCACAUUACUCUUCCUUAAAUGUCAAAACAGUGAGCACAGCAUCUCCUGAGAACCAUAAACAGCCUAAGGAGACUUAAUACCAAGAUGAAGCCUUUCCAGAUAUUGGUUUCAACUAUUCCUCUCUUUUUACCAUUUAAUGAAAAUUACAGUUUGGCUCUAAUUUGAACACUUGCCAGACCAUUUCCACCAGAGCUCUUAAAACUCGCCUUUCUCUGGGUCCUUUGAGGAAGGUCCUUUGUGAUCUAACACAUUUGGAUUCAAAGGAUGGCAGUUGCUGCCCCACAGUCCCUAAAGAGAAGCAGAAAAUCCACCUAAGUAAGCAGAGAGUCCAGAAUUAGAAAAUAUACGGUUUAACUUUACCACAGAGAAAUUUCUAAAAAGAGGAGAGUGACCUCUCAGCUCAGUGACCUCCCCAAGUCAGUUCCAAAAAGAAACAAACUGCUAUAAAAAGGAAAAGCUGAACCACAUCUCGGUUGGCAUAACCAUAACUCAAGAGUGGACUGGGAAGACCCAGGGAAAGAUAUUCAGAGCUAAAGUUGUCCAAGAACAGGUUGAAUUUGGAUGUUGAAUGGGAUUAAGAGUUGUGGGGCUGAGAACAGUUGGAUGUCUGUGCCAAGCAGGUCAUACUCAGCCUGCAGUAAGUGAUCACUGCUUUUGGCAC